rnacentral:rRNA from 1 species
CCAGCAGCCGCGGUAAUACGGAGGGUGCGAGCGUUAAUCGGAUUACUGGGCGUAAAGCGCGCGUAGGUGGCUUGAUAAGCCGGUUGUGAAAGCCCCGGGCUCAACCUGGGAACGGCAUCCGGAAACUGUCAAGCUAGAGUGCAGGAGAGGAAGGUAGAAUUCCCGGUGUAGCGGUGAAAUGCGUAGAGAUCGGGAGGAAUACCAGUGGCGAAGGCGGCCUUCUGGACUGACACUGACACUGAGGUGCGAAAGCGUGGGUAGCAAACAGGAUUAGAUACCCUGGUAGUCCACGCCGUAAACGAUGUCGACCAGCCGUUGGGUGCCUAGCGCACUUUGUGGCGAAGUUAACGCGAUAAGUCGACCGCCUGGGGAGUACGGCCGCAAGGUUAAAACUCAAAUGAAUUGACGGGGGCCCGCACAAGCGGUGGAGCAUGUGGUUUAAUUCGAUGCAACGCGAAGAACCUUACCUACUCUUGACAUCCUGCGAACUUGGGAGAGAUCCCUUGGUGCCUUCGGGAACGCAGAGACAGGUGCUGCAUGGCUGUCGUCAGCUCGUGUUGUGAAAUGUUGGGUUAAGUCCCGUAACGAGCGCAACCCUUGUCCUUAUUUGCCAGCGCGUAAUGGCGGGAACUCUAAGGAGACUGCCGGUGACAAACCGGAGGAAGGUGGGGACGACGUCAAGUCAUCAUGGCCCUUACGAGUAGGGCUACACACGUGCUACAAUGGUCGGUACAAAGGGUUGCCAACUCGCGAGAGUGAGCCAAUCCCGAAAAGCCGAUCUCAGUCCGGAUCGGAGUCUGCAACUCGACUCCGUGAAGUCGGAAUCGCUAGUAAUCGUGGAUCAGAAUGCCACGGUGAAUACGUUCCCGGGCCUUGUACACACCGCCCGUCACACCAUGGGAGUGGACUGCACCAGAAGUGGUUAGCCUAACGCAAGAGGGCGAUCACCACGGUGUGGUUCAUGACUGGGGGAAGUCG